GAAGGAACUCAUGAUCUGAGCCACGGGCAGCUUGCAGCACUGAAGCGCGGUCUUCAGGAUGAGGAGGACAUGCACCAGUGGACAAAGGAAGAAGACAUUCCCAAGGUGGCAGAUAGUUGGAGCACAUACUCAGGCACAGAUGUUUGGCAGGGAGAAACAACCAAGUACCUCGUGGAGGCCAGCGCCUUGUUUCCCAGGACUGUCUGACUCCUGAGCCCACUUUCCAUUCUGCCGGCCCUCUCAUUUGCCUGUCUCCUAUGAUGUCCUCCAAUUCUACAUCAUACUGGACCACAAAGGUGGCCAUGAUCCCUGAGCUGGAGAAGGCAGACUGGUCUUGCAGUGAUGGACAGAAGCACUGUAACCUCUGCACUCAGCCUUUUCACCAAUUGGCCAGGCCUCAAGCUCACCACCAGCUGGUACUGGGUCCAGAGAAUGGAUCUCAUGAAGGUGAGGGGAGCUGUUAGAUGAUCAAGAUUUGCCUGCCCCACCUCUCUGGCCCCAGCAGC
rnacentral:lncRNA from 1 species